GGAGCUCGUUCAGAAACGAUUUUUUCUUCACUGAGUUUCGUACAGUUAACGAUGACAGGUGUAACUGUGAGGUUAGAUUUCUCACGAUGUAUUUUGGUCGUGAAAUGUUACCCAAAUGUCAUGAAACUUCGGUGAAACUUGAAAAGAAAU